AUCUGUACCCCUCAGUGGCAGAAUGUGACCUGGAAGCAAUUGGGAGAAACAGUUCUGGGAAAUGCAGACUUCUCCCCUGUGAUGCAAAGCAAAAUCUGGAGAGAGCGAGAGAUGACAUGGAAUUAACAACAGACAAUCUGGCAAAAUGAAGUCAAGCAGAUAAUUUUCUGAUGAAUUGGAUGUGUGGUGUAAGAAAAAGAGAGACGUCUAGGAUGACUUCUUAUUUGUUCUAAGCGACUGCAAAGAUGUGCUGGCAUCAAUGGAGGCGUGGAAAGCAGUGCAUGGAGAAGGGCAUUUUUCGACAUGUCAGGUCAACAAAAGGCAAAAGAAGAAGAUGGACACAAAUUCAAGGAGAGAGCCCUCAGAAGAAUCUAAACUUGCCAAUAUUUUCAUCCAUGACCUGUAGCAUUCAGAACUGUGAGAAAAAAAUUUCUGUUAAGCCACCCAGUCUGUGGUGAUUGUUAUGGCAGCCCCAGCAAAUGAAUACAGCAUCCUAUAACUAAGGUGAAGAACAAGGCGGAAGGAAAUGACUUUUGUAAUGUCAGAGACAGCAUUCCUUAGUGGCAUUCCUGAGUUGCUAAAGCAAAAUCAAGCCCAAGGCUUAUUCUGCUACUGAAAUUUACAUGAUGAAAGCAAAAUUGUCCCCCUUUUUGCUUUAUUGUUUCAAAUGUAACUUAAACAGUUGAACCAAAUACAUCACUGUGUCCUUGGUAUCUGCAACUAUGAUGACAUCAGUUCAGUUCAGUUCAGUUGCUCAGUCGUGUCCGACUCUUUGCGACCCCA